ACGAACGCUGGCGGCGCGCUUCACCCCUGCCAGUCGAACGGAAAGGCCUGCUUUCCCUUGUGGAUUGCGGGUACUCGAGUGGCGAACGGGUGAGUAACACGUGAGUGAUCUGCCCCCAACUUGGGUAUAAGCCUGGGAAACUGGGUCUAAUUCCCGAUAGGACUGCAGGGUGGUGCCUGUGGUGGAAAACGAUUUUCUAGUGGUUGGGGAUGAGCUCGCGGCCUAUCAGCUUGUUGGUGGGGUAAUGGCCUACCAAGGCGGCGACGGGUAGCCGGCCUGAGAGGGUGGACGGCCACAUUGGGACUGAGAUACGGCCCAGACUCCUACGGGAGGCAGCAGUGGGGAAUAUUGCACAAUGGGCGGAAGCCUGAUGCAGCGACGCCGCGUGGGGGAUGACGGCCUUCGGGUUGUAAACUCCUUUCGACCGCGAGGAAGCCACCUGGUUGGAAGGGUGGUGACGGUAGUGGUAGAAGAAGCACCGGCUAACUACGUG
rnacentral:rRNA from 1 species